ensembl:lncRNA
UGGCAUUGUGGUGGGGGAAGUUGUCAGCAAGCUGUAAGGGAGGGGCCAAUCUUUUGACCUCCCACACUUUCCCUCAUAAAGAUCCCACCACUUCCCAGCAACUUGUCACUGAAGACCAAGCUUCCAAUAUAUGAACCAUAGCCAGACAUCACAGGAGUCAUCUCAAGUGUGAUCGCAUUGGGCCACUUGGACAAUCUUGGAGUCUCCCCAUCUCACGAUCCUUAACUGCAUUACAUUUGCAAAGACCCUUCUACCAUGUAAAGCAACAUAUUCAUGGGCUCUGAGAAUUGGGAAGUGGAUAUAUUUGGGGAAGUCGAUUUUUAUCCUACCAGAGAUUUGCAUCCUGUACAUUUUGAAUGUUUAGAAACAAGAUUUCUAAACUCUGCUAAAGUCUACUGGAAAAAAUGGAUUUGUUUGUUAAGCAGGCUCAUGGCUGCGGCUUGUCCAGGAUGCACUCAGAAGAGAUUAAAAAGGGGAAAAAUGAGGAGACCACCCACAUCUUCUGCCCCAGAAGGGUCCCUCCUUCCAGUCUUCUGAGCAGAAAAGGAAAGUUUCUCCUGGAGCUUUCUCCAUCAGUGCCUGCUGUGCAAUUCUGGGAUUUGGGCCACCUGGAGACUGAGCUGGGAGAAUUGAAAGCUAAAGAAAAUUAAACCAGGAAACUGCUAUACUGGC